UGAACGCUAGCGGCAGGCUUAACACAUGCAAGUCGAGGGGCAGCGGGAUGUAGCAAUACAUUGCCGGCGACCGGCGGAUGGGUGCGUAACGCGUAUGCAACCUACCUUAUACAGGGAAUAACCUUUCGAAAGGGAGACUAACACCCCAUGGUAUUGAUUUAAGGCAUCUUAGAUUAAUUAAAUAUUUAUAGGUAUAAGAUGGGCAUGCGUAUGAUUAGCUAGUUGGUAAGGUAACGGCUUACCAAGGCGACGAUCAUUAGGGGUUCUGAGAGGAAGGUCCCCCACACUGGUACUGAGACACGGACCAGACUCCUACGGGAGGCAGCAGUGAGGAAUAUUGGUCAAUGGGCGCAAGCCUGAACCAGCCAUGCCGCGUGCAGGAAAGACGGCCUUAUGGGUUGUAAACUGCUUUUACAUAAGACUAACCGUAUAUUUGCGAAUAUACCUGAAUGUAUUAUGAGAAUAAGGAUCGGCUAACUCCGUGCCAGCCGCAGC
rnacentral:rRNA from 1 species